rnacentral:lncRNA from 1 species
UAAAAAAUCAAUUCUUGCCACAGAGGCCACAUUUAACAGUGUUGUGGCUCCUGUCUCCAGGGCAUCAAAAGUGCCUCACUGCCCUAAGUCCCAACGAGCCUCAUGGGUCCAGCUCUGCAGAGGUUUCAUGAUGGGAAAGACAGCUUGCAAAGAUCUAAACAACACCCCCCCACACACACACACACCACCCCCAGACAACAAAGCAGCUCAGAGAUGGGAGCUUGUAGGCAGGAAAGGUCUAUAAACAAAUGGAUUGACAUUGGACUCAGAGGAGAAGGUCCCCAAAGCAUAGCAGAAUGAGUCUGGAAACAGAAAUGAGGGAAAGAAGAUUUAAUUCCUUUUUGAGACAAAAUGCCACGUAUCCAGGCUACUCUUAAAUUCCAUCCGUAGCGAAGGAUGACCGUGAACUUCUGAUAUUCCUGCUUCUACCUCCCAGUAUUGGGAUUAGAAGUACAACGUUAGUCCAGUUUAUGGGGUACAGGUUUCAUGCACACUCGUGAAGUUGAGCUACACUACCAGCUAAGAGUGCCCAAUCUUUGUUUCAAAACACACUUAAACCAGUCUAGGUGAUGAGCAAUUCUAAAUCCAAGCCCUUGGGAGUUGUAGAAAGUACAAUGGCUGUAAGUGUGAGGCCAGUCUGAGACCCUGUCUCAAAAACUUCCAAGCAAACAAACAACAACAAAACCAAAGGAAAAGAAAAACAAAACCACACUUCAGACUCCGGCAUGGAGUAAAGCGAGCCAAUCACAGAUGGCAACAACUGCUUUAUUCUCAAUCCUGGUGUGAGAAGAGCUUCAGGAGGGGCCACAGGAGAACUGUCUGCAGGAACAAGCCAUGCCAGAUGCAGCAGGAAGAUGAAGGGUCGUUGAGGCGGACAUAGAUCAAGUGUGUGGGAUACGCCCGCCGCAAGGCUCCUGGAGGUGAGGACUUGCUCCAAUGGAGGGAGCACUCUGGAUAAUCCUCCUGCAGGACUGGUGCCUGAAGAAGUUUAGAUUUAGACAUUAUGUGCAGAAAAAUCACUGGUAUCCUGGGAGUGCUCAGUUGGCUCACUAGACUCAAGCAACGGGUGUUCCUUUGCGCUCACUUGCCAUUGCCUAAAAUAUCCUUGAGCCAGAAGUGGUGACUUCAAGCCUGUGCAGCUUUAUGCAAUUUGGUGUCAAAGGCUUUGGCUUCAACACCUGAUGGCUCUCUCAGAGGCUAGGCGUUAAAAGUCCCAGAGAGAGCAGGAGCCUACCUGACAAGCAAAAACAUCUGCAGCUCUCAGAAUGAGAUACCUCGCGCUGGGCAAAGGCAGAAUCCAGACUUAUGCUAUAUGACAUGAAAGUUGAAGGGCGACCAAUGUCAGGGGAGAAAUGGCACCCAGCCGUGGUGAGGAAGAGAGAAUAUUGGGGCAGGCUGAGGCUGCCGAAGCCCAUAAAGAAGGUCAACUAAUGAUGGCACCGCAUGUCAAAAAGAACAUAGGAAAUGAUGCUACCAUGGAUUACACUGUAACACAGAAAGCUAAAACCCACGUUCUUAGAGUGAAGACUUUGAACCUAU